rnacentral:tRNA from 1 species
GGGCCUGUAGCUCAGUUGGCUAGAGCGUCUGCUUUGCAAGCAGAAGGUCAAGGGUUCGAGCCCCUUCAGGUCCACCA